rnacentral:rRNA from 1 species
CAAAGUGGGGGACCUUACGGCCUCAUGUUUUCGGAUGAACCCAGACGAGAUUAGCUUGUUGGUAGGGUAAUAGCCUACCAAGGCAACGAUCUCUAGCUGGUCUGAGAGGAUAACCAGCCACACUGGAACUGAGACACGGUCCAGACUCCUACGGGAGGCAGCAGUGGGGAAUAUUGCACAAUGGGCGAAAGCCUGAUGCAGCUAUGCCGCGUGUAUGAAGAAGGCCUUAGGGUUGUAAAGUACUUUCAGCGAGGAGGAAAAAAAUAAAAC